AUGGUUGUCGUCAGCUCGUGUCGUGAGAUGUUGGGUUAAGUCCGCAACGAGCGCAACCCUUGUGUUUAGUUUGCAAACAAGGUCAAGCUGUGCACUCUAGACAGACUGCCGUGGACAACACGGAGGAAGGUGGGGAUGACGUCAAAUCAUCAUGCCCCUUAUGAUCUGGGCUACACACGUGCUACAAUGGCCGGUACAACGGGCAGCGAAGGAGCGAUCCGGAGCGAAUCCUAAAAAGCCGGUCCCAGUUCGGAUUGCAGGCUGAAACUCGCCUACAUGAAGUUGGAGUUGCUAGUAAUCGCGAAUCAGAAUGUCGCGGUGAAUGCGUUCCCGGGUCUU
rnacentral:rRNA from 1 species